rnacentral:pre_miRNA from 1 species
UCCCUUGGAUGAGCAAAGAAAGUAGUUUCUUGAGGUGGAAUCCGCUCCUAGUGAAGAUGCUGUGAA